GGUACACUCUAUUCCAUUAGAGCUUUUGGAUUGUCCUUUUUAUCUGUAAUUUAGGGGAUUUUUCGUGUUUUGCCAUUGCAGAUAAAGGAAUUAGAGUCUUGACUACGCCUACUCUGAUUUUGAUUUCAAGGAGUUAGAGUAAAAUUAAGAUCAGUCGGGUUCAUGAGAGGAUUAUAAAGUAAAAGGAUUUUGAUUUCAAGCAGAGUUGCGGAUCUCUGUUUAGAUCGGCAGUUGAGUUUCCGACAACUAAACAACGUAGCAGAACGAUGAACGUGUCUUCGUCUUCUUAGAACUUUCGCAUUAACUCUUGAUUGGAGUGAUUUGUGGUGUUGAUCAUGAGGAUCUAAAGAGCAUAAACAUUAUAUCUAAAUCGAAAGAGGAGCCUGGCUAAGUGUUAAUACACGCCUUUCCUCUUCCUGGACUUGGAAAAUGAUUGGAUGAUGAGGAGAAGGAAGCCAUUCUUACAGGUGUUUAGCACAGGUACUUGCAAAACUGUAACACCAAGAAUCAACAGCCAAAUGAUUAUUGUUUUCCCUGGAAGGUAUUAGCUUUCUUGCCUAUUGUUCUUUUUUUUUUUUAAAGCUAUCUGAUGCUUAUGUUGCGCUUCUAUUUUUUUAGCCCAAUCAAGUAUGAAAAGAAUGCCUUGGAGGUUGUUGGGAAAAAGUUCAAAAAGAAUAGUGUCGCUCUUCACAUUGUCAAUUUUUGAGUAGAUAAUGACGAGGAAAAACCUCAGAAACUGGAGCCCCUCCUUUCAGCCGUCAAUAACAACGACGGUAGCCACAUUGUUCAUAUUCCUUCUGAAGCCAAUGCUUUCUCGAUGUCCUUCUCAGAUAUUAUAAACAGAACAGUCCAGACAUUAGAUCUAGGUUGACGACAACAUUGGAUGUGAUUGUAUA